GACGAACGCUGGCGGCGUGCUUAACACAUGCAAGUCGAACGGAAAGGCCCUGCUUUUGUGGGGUGCUCGAGUGGCGAACGGGUGAGUAACACGUGAGUAACCUGACCUUGACUUUGGGAUAACUUCAGGAAACUGGGGCUAAUAUCGGAUAGGAGCUCCUGCUGCAUGGUGGGGGUUGGAACGUUUCGGCGGUUGGGGAUGGACUCGCGGCUUAUCAGCUUGUUGGUGGGGUAGUGGCUUACCAAGGCUUUGACGGGUAGCCGGCCUGAGAGGGUGACCGGCCACAUUGGGACUGAGAUACGGCCCAGACUCCUACGGGAGGCAGCAGUGGGGAAUAUUGCACAAUGGGCGGAAGCCUGAUGCAGCAACGCCGCGUGCGGGAUGACGGCCUUCGGGUUGUAAACCGCUUUCGCCUGUGACGAAGCGUGAGUGACGGUAAUGGGUAAAGAAGCACCGGCUAACUACGUG
rnacentral:rRNA from 1 species